rnacentral:rRNA from 1 species
GACGAACGCUGGCGGCGUGCUUAACACAUGCAAGUCGAACGAUGAACCCGGAGCUUGCUCUGGGGGAUUAGUGGCGAACGGGUGAGUAACACGUGAGUAACCUGCCCUGGACUCUGGGAUAAGCGUUGGAAACGACGUCUAUUCCGGAUAGGACCUUGGAUCGCAUGAUCUGGGGUGGAAAGUUUUUUCGGUCUGGGAUGGACUCGCGGCCUAUCAGCUUGUUGGUGAGGUAAUGGCUCACCAAGGCGUCGACGGGUAGCCGGCCUGAGAGGGUGACCGGCCACACUGGGACUGAGACACGGCCCAGACUCCUACGGGAGGCAGCAGUGGGGAAUAUUGCACAAUGGGCGAAAGCCUGAUGCAGCAACGCCGCGUGCGGGAUGACGGCCUUCGGGUUGUAAACCGCUUUUAGUAGGGAAGAAGGGCUUCGGCUUGACGGUACCUGCAGAAAAAGGACCGGCUAACUACGUG